GACGAACGCUGGCGGCGUGCCUAAUACAUGCCAGUAGAACGCUUAAGGAGGAGCUUGCUUCUCCGGAUGAGUUGCGAACGGGUGAGUAACGCGUAGGUAACCUGCCUGGUAGCGGGGGAUAACUAUUGGAAACGAUAGCUAAUACCGCAUAAGAGUAGAUGUCGCAUGACAUUUGCUUAAAAGGUGCAACUGCACCACUACCAGAUGGACCUGCGUUGUAUUAGCUAGUUGGUGAGGUAACGGCUCACCAAGGCAACGAUACAUAGCCGACCUGAGAGGGUGAUCGGCCACACUGGGACUGAGACACGGCCCAGACUCCUACGGGAGGCAGCAGUAGGGAAUCUUCGGCAAUGGACGGAAGUCUGACCGAGCAACGCCGCGUGAGUGAAGAAGGGUUUCGGAUCGUAAAGCUCUGUUGUAAGAGAAGAACGAGUGUGAGAGUGGAAAGUUCACACUGUGACGGUAUCUUACCAGAAAGGGACGGCUAACUACGUG
rnacentral:rRNA from 1 species